rnacentral:rRNA from 1 species
CUGGCGGCGUGCUUCAUACAUGCAAGUCGAACGAGAAGCUGACUUCGGUCAGUGGAAAGUGGCGACGGGUGAGUAAUAUGUAGAGAAUCUGCCCUUGAGUGGGGGACAACAGAGGGAAACUUCUGCUAAUACCCCAUAUGAGCUAACUUGAAAUAGUUAUCUUGAAAACUCCGGUGCUCAAGGAUGAGUCUGCAUCUGAUUAGCUAGUUGGCGGUGUAAUGGACCACCAAGGCGACGAUCAGUAGCUGGUUUGAGAGGAUGAUCAGCCACAAUGGGACUGAGACACGGCCCAUACUCCUACGGGAGGCAGCAGUAGGGAAUUUUGCGCAAUGGGCGAAAGCCCUGACGCAGCAACGCCGCGUGAACGAUUAAGCCCUUCGGGGUGUAAAGUUCUGUCAGUAGGGACGAAUUUUGACGGUACCUACAGAGGAAGCACCGGCUAACUCCGUGCCAGCAGCCGC